GGGGAGGUUUGGCACCUCGAUGUCGGCUCAUCGCAUCCUGGGGCUGUAGUCGGUCCCAAGGGUUGGGCUGUUCGCCCAUUAAAGCGGUACGCGAGCUGGGUUCAGAACGUCGUGAGACAGUUCGGUCCCUAUCCGUCGCGGGCGUUGGAAAUUUGAGAGGAGCUGUCCUUAGUACGAGAGGACCGGGAUGGACACACCGCUGGUGUACCAGUUGUUCUGCCAAGAGCAUCGCUGGGUAGCUAUGUGUGGACGGGAUAAACGCUGAAAGCAUCUAAGCGUGAAGCCCCCCUCAAGAUGAGAUUUCCCAUCACUUCAAGUGAGUAAGACCCCUGAGAGAUGAUCAGGUAGAUAGGUUGGGAGUGGAAGUACAGCGAUGUAUGGAGCGGACCAAUACUAAUCGGUCGAGGACUUAACCAA
rnacentral:ncRNA from 1 species